UCUCAAGCUAGUCUCUGUAAAAAGAACAGGAGUACUUGUGGCACCUUAGAGACUAACAAAUUUAUUAGAGCAUAAGCUUUCGUGGACUACAGCCAACUUCUGUGUUUAUCUUCCUAGGUCAGCUCCUCCUCCUCCAUUGUGACCAGAGAACCGGGAAUGAGAGCAGCCUACGCGGGGGAGGGAACCUUCAUCAACGCCCCCCCGUGCCCAGUCCGGGUGAGGACUUUUGCCAGUGGCUGGAACCAGCCUCUGGGGCAGCCCCGGGCUCUGCCCACACCAGCACUGGAGCCAGAGCCUGCAGGUCUUAAAGGAGCUGAUGGUUGGGAUCCUGAACCCUAAACGUGUGUGACCUUGGUGCACCACAGAAGGGGAGUACAAUUUCAGCGGCCCUGAAACUGCGACAGUGGCAGGUGAAGGGAAGGUGAGUGAGAAUGAAGAGGAGAAUUCCCAGCUGGAAAGUCCCGAGCAAAUGGAACUGUGCGGGAUAGUAUCAGGAAGACAUGAAUGUAACGUUUCCUGCAAUAUUGACCAGGGAAGAUCCUGUGAGAGUCAGGGCAUGUCCGAGAGAAGCCAGCUGUGGAAGGAAGUGAUUAAAUCCAUUAAUUGUAGAGAAAGAUGCACAGACCUCAAGGAAACCACAGCCCAGCGAAGAAUCCACACACGAGAGAAAAAACACACGCACAAAGUGUGGGAAAAGCUUCAGUUUGAGAUCGCAGCUUUUUAGACACCAGAAAACCCACACGAGUGAGACACGCUAUAAAUGCCUUGAGUGUGGAAAAAGAUUUAGUGACAACUCACACCUUAUUGGACAUCAGAGAAUUCACACAGAACCUUAUAAAUGCAUUGACUCUGGGAAAAAGUUUAACGACAAAACACACUUAAAUACACAUCAGAGAACCCAUACGGAAGAGAAGCCCUAUAAAUGCCUUUACUGUGUGAAAACUUUUUUUCAGAGCUCAGAUCUUAUUUCAAAUCACAGAAUCCACACGGGAGAGAAACCGUAUAAAUGCCAGGACUGUGGGAUGAGAUUAAGUUGGAGGUCAAACCUAAUUCGCCAUCAGAGGAUCCAUACAGGAGAGACAUCUUAUAAAUGCCCUAAGUGUGGCAAAGAAUUUAGUGAUAAGUCACGCCUUUUGGGACAUCAGAGAAUCCACAUGGGAAAUAACCCCUAUAAAUGCCUUGACUGUGGGAAAAGUUUUAGUGAUAACUCGCACUUUGUGACUCAUCAGAGAACCCGCUCGGGAGAGAAAUCCUAUAAAUGCUUUGACUGUGGGAAAAGUUUCAUUCAGAGCUCAAGGAUUUGGGUUUUCCCCUUUCAUUAGAAUGAUGUUAAAACUUCUGAAAAUAACAUGAUCCUAUAAGAAGACUCCAAAGGUUUAGACAGUUCAGUGGAGACCAAGUAUAAAUCUGUUCUCCUGAGUUUGAGUCAGAAGGAACAUGCUCUGGGACGUCACUUUCCAUGAACCUAAUUGUAUCGUACAGCCCGGUCUUUAUUGUGGGUUGUUCCCUCUUUGCUGAAGGCCUUUUGGUCACAUAGAAUCAUAGAAUGUAAGGCCAGAAGGGACCACUAGAUCAUCUAAGCUAAUCAUCUAUAUAUCACAGGCCACCAACCACACCCUAAGCCCUUCCAUGGAAAUGAAAUAGUUCCCGUCUUGGGAUAUUAAUUUAGUUUGACAUGAUGAAAAGCCGAUUUAUCUGGGACUUCACAAGACAAAUGACCCUUUGCCAGAAGAGGCCUUUUUUAUUUUAUUUGGCCUUUCCCUCCACCCACUGCCAUAAGAUAUCUGUGGUGUUUGAACGGUUAUAAUUCCAAAUAACCACAAUAAACAAACACCAAUGGGCAAGUGUGAGAGUCGCAGUCUGAGAGGCAGAGACUGAAAUGGGGAUGGAGGUUACUGCCUGAUGCCCUGCAAUGAGGUGAGAUCUGGUCAGGAGGGGGGAGAGUGUAGGAAGUGGGAGAUGCAGAUCUGGGAAACUGCAGGGUUUUCUCUUGAGAACCAGACAGCUGAGGCUGAGAACUGUUAACUUGCUGCACUGGGGCCUGAUAGAGACAGGAACUAGCCUGCAAGUAUUGGGUGAAGCCAUCCCUGAGUUCCACAAUGCACAGUCAACCUGUGGAACUCUUUGCCAGAGGAUGUUUUGAAGGCCAAGACUAUAACAGGGUUCAAAAAAGAACUAGAUAG